UACGAAGGGGGCUAGCGUUGCUCGGAAUCACUGGGCGUAAAGCGCACGUAGGCGGAUCGCUAAGUCAGGGGUGAAAUCCUGGAGCUCAACUCCAGAACUGCCUUUGAUACUGGCAAUCUCGAGUCCGGGAGAGGUGAGUGGAACUGCGAGUGUAGAGGUGAAAUUCGUAGAUAUUCGCAAGAACACCAGUGGCGAAGGCGGGUCUCUGGACAGUUCCUGACGCUGAGGCACGAAGGUCAGGGGAGCAAACGGG
rnacentral:rRNA from 1 species